UACGAAGGGGGCUAGCGUUGCUCGGAAUCACUGGGCGUAAAGGGUGCGUAGGCGGGUUUUUAAGUCAGAGGUGAAAUCCUGGAGCUCAACUCCAGAACUGCCUUUGAUACUGAAAGUCUUGAGUAUGGGAGAGGUCAGUGGAACUGCGAGUGUAGAGGUGAAAUUCGUAGAUAUUCGCAAGAACACCAGUGGCGAAGGCGGCUGACUGGACCAUUACUGACGCUGAGGCGCGAAAGCGUGGGGAGCAAACAGG
rnacentral:rRNA from 1 species